rnacentral:rRNA from 1 species
AUUGAACGCUGGCGGCAUGCUUUACACAUGCAAGUCGAACGGCAGCGCGGGCUUCGGCCUGGCGGCGAGUGGCGAACGGGUGAGUAAUGCAUCGGAACGUGCCCAGUCGUGGGGGAUAGCCCGGCGACAGCCGGAUUAAUACCGCAUACGACCUGAGGGUGAAAGCGGGGGACCGAAAGGCCUAGCGCUAUUGGAGCGGACGAUGUCGGAUUAGCUAGUUGGUGGGGUAAAGGCUUACCAAGGCGACGAUCCGUAGCUGGUCUGAGAGGACGACCAGCCACACUGGGACUGAGACACGGCCCAGACUCCUACGGGAGGCAGCAGUGGGGAAUUUUGGACAAUGGGGGCAACCCUGACCCAGCCAUGCCGCGUGCGGGAAGAAGGCCUUCGGGUUGUAAAACGCUUUUGUUCGGGAAGAAAUCCUGUGGGCUAAUACCCCGGGGGGAUGACGGUACCGGAAGAAUAAGCACCGGCUAACUACGUG